rnacentral:rRNA from 1 species
CACGCUGUAAACGAUGAGUACUAGGUGUCGGGGGUUACCCCCUUCGGUGCCGCAGCUAACGCAUUAAGUACUCCGCCUGGGAAGUACGCUCGCAAGAGUGAAACUCAAAGGAAUUGACGGGGACCCGAACAAGUAGCGGAGCAUGUGGUUUAAUUCGAAGCAACGCGAAGAACCUUACCUAAGCUUGACAUCCCAAUGACAUCUCCUUAAUCGGAGCUUU